GACGUAGGGCGCGAGCGUUGUCCGGAUUAUUGGGCGUAAAGAGCUCGUAGGCGGCUUGUUGCGUCGGCUGUGAAAACCCGUGGCUUAACUGCGGCUUGCAGCUGAUACGGGCGGGCUAGAGUUCGGUAGGGGAGACUGGAAUUCCUGGUGUAGCGGUGAAAUGCGCAGAUAUCAGGAGGAACACCGGUGGCGAAGGCGGCAUCCUGGACCGAUACUGACGGCUGAGGAGCGGAAAGCCAGGGAGCAAACGGG
rnacentral:rRNA from 1 species